UGCGAAGGGAGUCGAUAAUGCUGGAAAAAAUCUGCCAGACAAUUUACCCCACUGGCACAGAGCCUAGAAUUAUAAUCAGAUCUUGACUUCUUCAAAGCCUCUUGCUUUGGAUUUUUCCAAAUCAAAAAUAAAUAUUGAGGGCAAUUACCUUCCUUUCCUCCUCUGAUGUAUGAAGGGGAGUUUUCACCCAUUAAUUCAGGAGUCCUCUCAUUUUACUCUGAAGGCACUAGCCCUUGGAACUUGUUAACGCGGUAUCAACACCGUCUGUCUAGGCUGUGGCUGAAAAUAGAGAGGAGUUAUUGUGCUCCAGGUUAGUAUUUUCCUCUUUUUACGGAGGCUGUGAACGGCCAGACACUUCUUCAUAGACGAAAGGCUGUUUUCUUCCUAUUACUGGAGGCAUUGUUUAUGUGGAUCCAUUUUCUUGCUGUUAUCAGAACACCCUCCAGGGGGCAGCAGACCACAACCUCUGCGUGGGCUUCCUCCGCCUUCUUGCCCAGUUUAAACUGGUCUAAAGUGGAGGUCUGAGGGGUUGGACCCUGGCUGUCUUCUCUGGGCUUCCCUGGGCUCCACGAGAAAGCGUGUCUUCUGGAGGAAAAGCAAAACCUCAACAGCCUUAUUUUUGGAGCGCUGUGGACAUGACCAGACCUAUUAAUUACUUAAUUGAGGCACAGAGCUUUGAAGAUGAAAAGUACCGGAUGCACCUGACUUGAGGAAUAGGAUGGCUGUUUGGCUUUGAUGACCGUUUGGACAAGACCGACUCUUCCUGGGUGGCGUCUACAUCACAUUACUGUCUUGGAGAAUAAAGGACAUGGGGAGAUGAGGAGUGGCCCUCGCAAAUGGAAUCAAGACACAGGUUCAUCUCGAAGCAUCCGUAUCAACAUGCCAAUCCUCAGAAACUCACUGUAAAGACACUGCGUGGGCUGGAGAGAUGGCUCCGUGGAGAAAGCGCUCACCAUGCACACACAAGGACCUGAGUUUGACUUCCGGGAACCCAUGGAAAUCUCGGUGCGGCAGCAUGCACUUGUGAUCCUGCUGCUCCCGCAUGAAGAUAGGAGGUGGAGUUGCUGUAGGCCUGGGCACGAUACUGUCAGGUGAACUCCCACAGCCAUCCAGUGACACCCCACGCUCUUACCUCCUCUUCAGCCUGGCAUCCUCAACGCUGUUGGCAUCUUGACUUGUCCCAAGUGGGUCCCUCUCUACUCUUUGGAGAACCUUUAGGGCUGCUUGUUAAGACAGAGAAAAGAAGACAAUGAUAAAAGAAGAAUAAGGAAAAGAAGAAAGGAAGAGGCAGAACAGAAAAAAAAAAAAAGAUAGAUGAGAACAGAAGACACACGGUGGUGGUGGGUGAACACAAUAAAAUACCUCAACAGAAAGACCGAAGGAAAAGAAACCAAGGAAUGAUUUCUGCUAGUCUCCACAGAAGCCAUUUCUCAGCUGAAACGAGCAGAAAGAGGGGAAUAAGGAAGAGAAUUUGGGUGCUUAGCCUGACCAGGUGAUGACUUGGCAGGUGUGUCCCACAGUGGGCAGCUACAGCAAGUCCUCCCGGUCCUCAGCACAUGGCACUGUGCUGGGGUGCAUGCUGUGGACAGACCUGAGCUGGGAAGUGUGGCAUGUGUCUUAAAUGGUCUUAAUAAAAACCCGGAGCCAGAUAUCAGGGUGAAUGCUGAAAGAUCAGAGAGACAAAGGAACAAG